AACUUAUCCAGAGAGAUACGAGGGACGGGCCCGUUAUUAGUAUCCGGCAACCUGUAUGAAAAUAUAAGGUGCCAAUUCCCGGCAUAAAAAAUGCGAAGAUAAGAA
rnacentral:ncRNA from 2 species